CACAUGACAGAUUACGAUAGCUCGUGUGAAGAAAGAUGUACAAACAACAAAGAGCGUAUAGUGAAUUGUUUCGGGUGACAGAAGUGGAUUUUUCAUCGCAUUUCAAAGAAAUCGUCCGUUCGGGUAUUGAUAUACAUAUCAGUUUUGUCGUCACAUUUUCCAUGUCCCAGUCACUAUCCAAUGAAUUUAGUAAUCACGAAAACCAGAAUACAACUAAAACCCAUACAAUUUCACACAAAAUUGAAUUAAAUCCAUAGAAAUUUGAACUUGUUACAAAAUCAUCAGAAAAUUGUAUACUUGGUUGAAUGCAAAUAAAUCUAUUCUUCCAAUUUGUUUUUUACCAAAGCAAAACAAGAUAAAAAUUAAAUGUGAUCGAAAAAAAGUUUUGUCGUGUAAUAUUUACGAGAUUUGGCUGUUUUUCCUGAUGAUUGUACAAUUUUAUCAUAACUGUCACCGAUUUUAAUAAUUUUGAUUAAUCACAUUUCAACAAAUAAAAUGCAAGAUUAAGGGUUAUACUGUACUACGCUUAAAUAUGAAUUUUGAUAAUCUAAUUCCAACGGAGAACUUAGUAUUGAACAUUGUCAAAGACAAACUUCGACACGAUGAGAGUGUCCUAUCGAUAUGUGAGACUUAUCAAAUAAUUGGCGGCGAGUAUAAAGAUCGUUUGCUAGCACUCGUUGCUCAUGGAGAUACAGCGGCAAUCUUUGCAUUUGCAUCAUCGAAAUGGCCCCCAGAACUAUUUUCCGAUCUAACAAUUGAAAGUGUUUAUCCGCUGAACGAAGAUUUUACGCUGGAUACGAGUUCAUCGAGUAACUUCACUGAGAAUCAAUUUAAGAUACAUUCGUCACAGGGUCAAUCAGUCUACUAUUACUAUCCAUUAAAGUCAGCUCAUGCUAAAAGUUUUGGUAGUUUCCAUGAGGAUUGCAAGCAAAUUAUUGGUGCGCCAAAGAUGGAUGAUCCUGAAAAAUUCAAGUGGCUGCAAAAGUAUCGACGUGAAGAUCAGUCAGCCAUAGAUAGAAAUAUAGCCGAUGGAACAAUCACAUUGCAAAGGCGUGAGUCGAAAUUUCGUGAGGAGCUUGAGAAACGAGAAUUUGAAUACAUCAUCCAUAAGGAUUUCACUAUUUACACGGCAACAUGGAAUGUGAAUGGACGACCAUGUGAUGACGUUGAACUAACGCCCUGGCUGUGUGCAACUGAAAGUCCACCAGACAUUUAUGCGGUUGCCUUUCAAGAACUAGAUUUAUCUCCCAAAGCAAUAACAUUCAGUGAAAAUCGACCAGAUCCUAUUUGGAUCCGAAAAAUUAUGUCGAGUUUGAAUCCAAAUGCAAACUAUGAAGAAUUGGUGUCGGUACGUUUAGUUGGUAUGAUGUUAACUGUUAUCGUUCGACAGGAGCUACGUAAAAAUGUUCUGAGGUAUUCAACUCAAGCGGUCGGAACGGGUGCACUUAGUUUUAUGGGCAACAAAGGCGGUGUCGGUGUGAGCAUGCAAAUAAAUGAAGCGUUUAUUUGUUUUGUGAAUUCUCAUUUGGCAGCUCACUCAAGUGAGAUUGAACGGCGAAAGGAGGAUCAUGACGACAUUAUUCGUCGCAUGCAUUUCGAAUUCGGUAUAUCGCGUCGAUCGAUCGAUGAACACAACCACAUAUUCUGGAUUGGAGAUUUAAACUAUCGCCUUGUUGACAAUCCACCGCGUCAACUGUUUGACGUUACCAACUUCUCGGAAAUAGUAAAGCAUGACCAAUUGUAUCAGGAAAUGCAACGUCAGCGUGUGUUCCUGAAUUACACGGAAGGUGCCAUAAAUUUUCGGCCCACUUAUAAAUAUGAUCCUGGAACAGAUGAUUGGGACAGCAGUGAAAAAUAUCGAGCACCAGCCUGGUGUGAUCGCAUCUUAUGGAAAGGUGAACGCAUCAGUCAACUAGCGUACAACAGCGUGAUGUGUUUGCGUUUGAGCGAUCACAAGCCCGUUUACGCUGUCUUUUCAACGGGGAUAAAAACGAAAGAUGAACAAAAGUACAAGUGUGUCCACGAAGAGGUCCUGAAGAGAGUAGAUAAAUAUGAAAAUGAUAAUCAGCCACAAAUUACCGUGGAAAAGACGGAUAUUGAUUUUGACAUUAUACAAUUUAAUGAAUCGUACACGCGUGAUAUCACCGUUGCCAAUAACUGUCAUUUGCCCGUUCGAUUUGAAUUUUGCGGUAAGGAGGAAAAUGGGAAAAAAAUUUGUGAGCCAUGGUUGCACGUGGAACCAACUAAUGGUGAACUGAUAACGGGCGAUAGUUUGAGCAUUCGUUUCAAAAUAUUCAUUGAUGUUCACCAUGCUUGGCGGAUGCAUCGCAAACAAAAAGCGAGCAAUAUAAAAGUUCCAUUGGAUAUUCUAGUAUUGCAUGUGGAAAAUGGACGUGAUAUAUUCAUAACAGUGUUGGGGGAAUACCGACCAAGUUGUUUUGGAUUUUCAGUUGAGACAUUAGCACGACUGCCGCAACCAGUGUAUGAGCUAAACCUUAAGGAUUUACUAAAAAUUGAAUGUGACCUUAACAGUAGCUAUACAUCUUCUGUGUACAAAGUAUUGAAUAUUCCGCGUGAGAUUUAUCAGCUGGUCGAUUACUUGAAUCGAAAUGGACUUAAAACGCCGAAUCUGUUCACAUUGGAGCGAAAAUAUGUGUCCAAUCCACUUAUAAAUGAUAUUCGAGAUUGGUUAAAUUUGUGGUCGCCGGCCGAUUUUCGUAAGUGUUACCAAAUAGAAAUAUCAUUCAUAUGCUUGGAAUGUGUGGAGAAGAAAAUUUGUACCGAUCAUUUUUUUUUUGACUACAUCCCAAGUAACAUUUAUGUAAUGCUUUCUACCGUUAAAUAAAGUAAUGCUUUUGCCCACUUCAGUGGUGCAUUUGACCAUUAAUUCACAUACAAUCCCGUCCGAAUCGGAUGAAAUUCGGGUAUCAUCCAACUGUACGCUACACUCGAAUCACAUCCAUUCGUGACGGUAAUAAUGGGUGUGAAAACUGACUGACUGAGAAUUAUAUAUGUACAACAGAUUUGAUCGUUUUCAUCUUUGAAUCAAUUGAGAAAUCAGAACCGUUGUGCAACAUUUUCAAUUGUAAAUGUCACUUGAAAUCUUCAUUCAUUAGCUCUAGAAAUAUGCACGAUAUAAUAAUCAUUUUGUUUAUAAUGUCAUUGGAACUUCUUCUCAUUUUGUCCAAGAAAAAUGCAUUGAAAAUGGUCCGUUCCAUUUUUUGUUUGUUUAUAUAUUCGUAUAAAAAACUGUCGAAGCAAAAAUAUUUUGCUUCGCUUUGGAGAUUUCCUUUUCUGUCUCCGAUUCGUAAAACAGCAGUUUUGACGCAGCAACCGUCACGCCAUGCCAAUGUGGUGUUCAAAGGAUGAAACAUUGACGGCGAACGAUUCGUUUUGCAAAUUCCACUCAGCACAGCGGCUCAUUGGUGUAGGACAUUGACAAGAAAUUGGCGCACAUUUUUUUGAGUGAACAUUCAACGAAAAAAUGCAAUUUUUUUUGCGAAAUAGUUGCUUUAAUUGCGAGACCAAAACCCUUUUACAGAUUAUUUCGCAAUUUUGAGGCGAGAUCCGCAUUGAGACAGGGAGACAGAGAGCAAACGAAGCCUGAUCUAUUCAAAUCGUUUGGAUUCAUACGAAGUGGACUUUUUGUGACCGAGAUCCAUCGCGAUGGCGAGGCGUAAGCGGCACAAUAAGACGUUUGGUAGGCCAAGGAAGAACAAAGUGCAGAUGAAAAAGCACUCCAUUGUGAAGAAAAAACCUGUCAAUCGGAAAGAAGAUUCAACAAAACAGUCGACAGAAAAUGGCACAAUCGAAAUCAGCGCGAUCAAAUUGGCAUUUAAUUCGAUAAUUAAUACGAACUUAACAGAAACAGAAAGAGGAUUUCUGAUCCAUAAGUUCUUCGAAAAAUGUUUGAAUGCUACGAAAGUCAUGCAUCUUGCAUCGAUGUUAAUGCUCUACAGAGUCAACGAAGCAUUUGAUGAUGACAAUUUGAACUUCUUCGUGAAUCAAAAUGGAGCAAAUGUGAUAACAGACUGUUUCAACUGUGUCACAUCGGACAACAUCAAAGAUCCACUCACAGCCCAAAUGCCAGACGCAUUUCUCGCGAUGGUGACACAAGGUAGCCCCAACUUUGAAUGGCCACGCCGCCAUCAAAUGACUCGCCAAGUUUAUGCUCUCAAGGACCAGUAUGUGGCCAAUGUGAAGACAAAUUUGGAGACGCACUGUUGGGUGAGAUUGACCCACUUUCUACGUGUAAAGUGCCAUGAAUUCAAUCACAAAGGAAGCCCACUUGAGGUUAUUUAUAAUGCAUCAUACUUGCCUUUCGAUGACAUUGACAUUCGAAAUACGAUGAAAAAUUUGAUGUACAAUGAAGAUUGGACAUAUGAUGAUGAUGAAAGUCGAAAGGGGAAGAUGGACAUACUGUUUAAGGAAGUGUCUGAGCUUUGUGGCCCAUCAUUCGUAAAAUGCUUCACAAUGUACGAAUACAUUCAAAAGGACUGGUUCGAGUCUUUGUGGAUGUGGAUAGGCAUUCAACGCAUUAUGGACAAAUUUUUGAUCGAUACGGCUCACCUUCGUCAACAGUGGAAAGCAUACGAUCGUGAUCCAGUGAACAAUCGAGAGCCGUCGGUACCGAAGAUACCAAAAGUGAAGAAUUUCGCCGCUAUUCCACUCUGUGAUACAAAACUGAAGCACAUACCAUUCGACCAUAAUGACUUGAUUGAUAUCAUUGGCCAGUUGAGAAAUGAACGGGGAUGGGAUAUCCGUGCUGAUUAUCGUACAUACUACAAGCAAGGCGAGAACAAAGACGAGGCAUGGGGAAUUGUGUUCGAUAUGGACAAAAUCAGACAGCUCAGAACCGGUUCGAAAGAGUUUUACCACAAAAUUCAAACCAACAGUAGUGCCGUGUCGGUGUUGUUUAGCAGACCCAAACGCAAAGGAGCCGGCGUGACUCUGUCUGAAAUCAAAGCAAAGUACGAAAAGCCAGUCAGCAAAGGCGGUUACAA